GUACCUACGGGAGGCAGCAGUAGGGAAUUUUCGUCAAUGGGCGCAAGCCUGAACGAGCGAUGCCGCGUGAGCGAUGAAGGCCUUCGGGUCGUAAAGCUCUGUCCUCAAGGAAGAUAAUGACGGUACUUGAGGAGGAAGCCCCGGCUAACUACGUGCCAGCAGCCGCGGUAAUACGUAGGGGGCUAGCGUUAUCCGGAAUUACUGGGCGUAAAGGGUGCGUAGGUGGUUUCUUAAGUCAGAGGUGAAAGGCUACGGCUCAACCGUAGUAAGCCUUUGAAACUGGGAAACUUGAGUGCAGGAGAGGG
rnacentral:rRNA from 1 species